GUCGUAACAAGGUUUCCAUAGGUGAACUUGCGAAAGGAUCAUUG
rnacentral:rRNA from 1 species